rnacentral:sRNA from 1 species
GACUUGCUUCCAGACAAAGGUUGUCUCAAAUUUGUUGCUCACACCGAGUUCUGGAGAACGCCAUCAGCUCGCUGCUUAAAAUUAAACCACAGGUUCCAUUAUGGGUCGACUUGAUGGGAAAGUCAUCAUCCUGACAGCCGCUGCUCAGGGGAUUGGCCAAGCAGCUGCCUUAGCUUUUGCAAGAGAAGGUGCCAAAGUCAUAGCCACAGACAUUAAUGAGUCCAAACUUCAGGAACUGGAAAAGUACCCAGGUAUUCAAACUCGUGUCCUUGAUGUCACAAAGAAGAAACAAAUUGAUCAGUUUGCCAAUGAAGUUGAGAGACUUGAUGUUCUCUUUAAUGUUGCUGGGUAAUUCAUAACUUUUUAGUUUCACUUUCCUUACAGAAAGUUUUCUAUGACUUUCAUUCAAAGAAUUUUCAUAAUGUGGCAAAAUCAUUCAUUGUGAACCAUGACAUAUUCCUUGGGAAAUAUGGCUAGAUAUUACACAGCAUUUUCAUUACACAUAAAAUUCAGCAGGUAAGACAGCCUUAGAGUUUGACAUGAUCUGGGGCAAAUGAGGUCUACUCAAGACA